GAUGAAGAACGCAGCGAAAUGCGAUAAGUAGUGUGAAUUGCAGAAUUCAGUGAAUCAUCGAAUCUUUGAACGCACAUUGCGCCCCUUGGUAUUCCAUGGGGCAUGCCUGUUCGAGCGUCAUUUGUACCCUCAAGCUUUGCUUGGUGUUGGGCGUCUUGUCGUAUUACGACUCGCCUUAAAUACAUUGGCAGCCGGCACUUUGGCCUAGGAGCGCAGCACAUUUUGCGAUCGUAGCCCGUUGUACUGGCGUCCAUCAAGAACAUUUACCACGUUUGACCUCGGAUCAGGUAGGGAUACCGCUGAACUUAAGCAUAUCAAUAAGCGGAGGA
rnacentral:misc_RNA from 1 species